AUACGGCCAUAUCACAUUAAAAAUAUCGGUUCUCAUACGAUCACCGAAGUUAAGCAACGUUAAAUCUGGUCAGUACCUAGAUGGGUGACCGCUUAGGAAUACCAGCUGCU